rnacentral:tRNA from 1 species
GCACCCGUAGCUCAGUGGAUAGAGCACUGGUUUCCGGUACCAGGUGUCGGAGGUUCGACUCCUCUCGGGUGUACCA